rnacentral:rRNA from 1 species
UACGGAGGGUGCAAGCGUUGUCCGGAAUUAUUGGGCGUAAAGCGCGUGUAGGCGGCCAGAUAAGUCCGCUGUGAAAUCUCGAGGCUCAACUUCGAGCUGUCGGUGGAAACUGUCUGGCUAGAGUCCGGAAGAGGAGAAUGGAAUUCCUGGUGUAGCGGUGAAAUGCGCAGAUAUCAGGAAGAACACCCGUGGCGAAGGCGGUUCUCUGGGACGGUACUGACGCUGAGACGCGAAAGCGUGGGGAGCGAACAGG